GCAGAGAUUUCUGGAUUGCUUCCUGCUCAUCCUCAGGGGACCAUCUGGAACUGACAGUCUGUCCUCCAGACUCAUAUCUUCCUCUUUCCAAUCAACCAGUCAAUCAUCAAGCAUUUAUGCACACCUUAUGUGCCCAAUAGGCCUCCUUUGCUGUGGAAGAAGCACUGAGAGCCAGAGUGCCCUCCACAUUCACCAGAAGCACAGCUAAGUGUCAAGGCUCAGGUUACAUCUUAGGAAGCAUUUAUGGGGAGGAGACAAGCAGGUUGUAAUCGCAGGCUUUUCAGAGACAUGUCCAGUCUCUCUGUGAGUUUCUUUGGAUCUCAUCUCUGGCAUUUUCCUGCUAAAAUCCAACCUUUCUACCCUUGCCUGACUGACUCUACUCUAAGGCUUUUGAUCUAGAAGAAUAGGUAUCUGAGGAUAGAGCAGUGAACCAAAGAGACAAAAGUCCCUGCCUCUAUGGAGCUACAUUCCAGUUGACUGCUAUAAUGAUGGCUCUCCAGAAUUGUUGUGGUCUGCUUUCAAGUUCUGAGCCUAGCUGCAUGCCAGAAUCACACCAUCUGAGGCUUAAUGAAUCAGCAUCUCCAAGAUUGGCAAAAGUGCCGCUAUCAAAGACAGGUAGAAUGACUCCUGUCUCUAGCUGCUUUCCUGGCACUUGAGCUAUGCAGUGAUAAUACAAGUUGGGAGGACUCAACAGAAGCCAGG
rnacentral:lncRNA from 1 species